AUGCCACUUCAUGUGCAGAAAGGUGACACAAGACUGUUCAUUGAUUUAUUAUAAUUCCUAUGUUACUGCUAUCUAUUUCUCUCUCUUUAUAGGACUGGUUGGAAAAGAAGAGAAUCUUCCUUUUGGAAUUACAAAGAAUAAAAAGAAACAAAGCUGAGAACUUGCGAGAGAAAAAUGAGAAGAAAGAAGUUGCUAAAAGAGAAGAAGCAUUUGCAUCCUUUGAAGCUUGGAAGGCUAUGAAAGAAAAACAA